UACGAAGGGGGCUAGCGUUGUUCGGAAUUACUGGGCGUAAAGCGCAUGUAGGCGGCUAUUCAAGUCGGGGGUGAAAUCCUGAGGCUCAACCUCAGAACUGCCUUCGAUACUGUUUAGCUUGAGUGUGGAAGAGGUUGGUGGAACUGCAAGUGUAGAGGUGAAAUUCGUAGAUAUUUGCAAGAACACCGGUGGCGAAGGCGGCGACCUGGGUAGAUACUGACGCUGAGGCGCGAAAGCGUGGGGAGCAAACAGG
rnacentral:rRNA from 1 species